rnacentral:tRNA from 1 species
ACAGUGGUGGCUCAGUGGUAGAAUUCUUAUCUUCCACACAGGAGACCUGGGUUUGAUUCCUGGCCAAUGCA